CGAGGUGGAACGUUGUUGGGUUUGGAGAGUUUUUGGCUGGAAAUGUGAGGGAGGUUGGGAAGGGAAGUCUUGGCUUUUUCUGGGCAGUGUGUGUGUGUGUGUAACAGGACAUUUUGCUCUUGGAAUGUGGUUGAACGACUCAAACAAGGCCCUGUUUUGCAAGGUUUUGGUGUUGAAUUCUGCUAAAACCAAAUUAAUCUCCUGAGAGUGAGGCAAAGAUUUGGCAGAUGAGCUGCUCAGCUGACCUGGGGACUUGACUAAAUCAAUCCCUUUAUACUCUAAAAGCCCAGGCCACUUCCAUAUCAUCAGAUUCUUCCAACUUAACCCUCCUUGGAGUGUGUGGAGUUUCUCCCAUGUGAUGGGGACACUCCUGGAGGUUCAGAGAGAGAGAUCUGCUCACAGGCUUUGGUUUGCUGAACCUGGAUUAAAGGAGAAUUGAUCUGGCAGGAGAUUUAUUUAAAUGCCAUCACCUGAAUCCUCCUCCCCACACACCUGGGGAAGCCCUGGGGGGACUUGUCUGGAGUUGAUGGUUCCUCUUCCACUGCGCUCCCCAAGGAACUGCAGGAAUCCACAGAACCAGAACCUCUUUCCAAGCUGCACCCCGUGAAAUCCAAAGUGUUUCUGAGCACUCUCCCAGCAAAGCUUUGGCAAUUCCAGAUCUUCAGCCAAG